UCCCACCUCACCUACUUUUCCCCCAAACUGCUGCCGAAACCCCAGCCAAGGCCCCGGAGCACAGGCCCUGAACCUCGGGAAUGGGACCGGGAUCGGGAAUGGGGCCGGGGUCCCGGGACAAGAGGGCUGCCCCUCCUUGAGUCUCUGCCUCUCGGCGACACCUAAAUCACGGUCGUGAGGCCCGGCGGCCCGGGUGGAAAACCCGCCGUCUGCAGCGAUAGAAGCGGAUCUGGGAAGAAGCUGUCGGACGGGAAAGCAGACAGAGCGAGAGUCGGAUCAAAAUUGCGAUUUGUAAUUGUUAUAAUAAACCAAGCGCAGUGAUAAAAGAAAAAAAAAAAAAGGCAAAAGAAAAACCCACCCCGGAAAGCGGGAGCAAGAAAAGAAGUCAUUUGAAAGCAAAGAUAUCCCAAACCAGGCGGAAUGAUGCAAGGCGUGCGCCCACAUCACAUCGGCCUCGUUACAAUUUUAUUUUUCAAUAAUUCUGUCCGAUAAAAUUUCAUUGUCCAUUAAGUAAUCCCCGAAAUGAGAGCUCUUAUGAGCCUAUAAUGAGCUCUAAUUGCUACGACUGGGAGAGCCACGUGGAAGGAUUUAGAAGGUAUUAAGCAGUUGGGUACAGAGCACAGGCUGUUACCUAGCCAUUACUUUCAUAAUUCAAGGAGAAAAUUAGUCCUUUUAAGGGAAAAUCCUUUGAUUCCCUUCAUUCUGCUCGGGGUGACAGAGUAUAGCUUUGUCUGCCUUUAGUUCAAGACAGUGUAACAAAUGAGAAUGUAACGAAAUUGCCCCCUUUUCAAAGUGGAGCGCUUCAAAAAGAACAGCAGAGCCGCUCCCCCGGGCUGCGGAGCGCAGGACUGGGUGCUGGUUCCUCUUUUCUUCCAGAUGUCUCGAACACCUUUAUGUAGGGGAGAUUCACGGCUUAAACGACAAAAGCAACGCUUUCCUUUCCUUUCCCUCCCCCCCCCAGUCUUUGCUCGGCUCCCGGCCGCCCGGCGAAGCUCCCAGGCGCGCAUCUCCGCCCCGAUGCGGGCAGGAUGCGGCCCCGCCGAAAGGAACGCACCUCGGGGAAGCGCUCCCAGGCGGAAAAAAAGAAUAAAUAUAAAUAAAAAGAAAAAAAGAAGAAAGGGAAAGGGAAAGGGAAAAAAGAAAAGAAAAAAAAAAAACUUCGCAGGGCGGCCGCGAUUUUGCCAGCAUCCCGCGGGGGCCGUGCGGUGGCUCCGGGCAGGAUGCUCCGAGGAGACCCACGCGUGGGUAGCCCAGGGGCUAAGGGCUCUCUUGCUCUUUCUUCGCUAACCUACCAUCGAUUUCGGAUUAGUUUCCAAAGCAAUCGGCGGUGUUGGAGCCGGGUUUUGUGAAGGGAGCGCAGGCAAAAGACAGGACUUGCCCCCAGCUCCCGUUAAUGAGGUCAUUAUAAAAGCGUGAACAAGUCUAUUAAUGUUUUAUUGAAAGCGCAUCGUUAACUUGUAUCCAUCCUUUUCUGAAAGUGGCAUUGUGAUAUUGCUGUCUGUGGCACAUCUUACCCAAUAUAGCCCGAGAUUUCUCCAUUAUCUGUAACCAAGCAACACUUUCUGAAUACCAAAAAUUGAAAAGAACCGCUUAGUCUUCAAGAAAGUCCUCAAUAAUAGUGGAAAAGAACAAAGAUCCAGGAGACAACAAAAUGCCACAGGGGUGACUUUUCAUGAGCAAUUAUCUCUCAUUAAUCAGCAGAACAGCUGCAAUAUUAAUUUCCUCUCUUUCUUCCUCUCUUUUCACAGUCCCCACCAUUUGAAUAAUCAUAAAUUUUGAUUUCAUGGAGCACCAACAUCGCCGGCGACUCCGGGACACAAGCUACCUACGCGGGGCGGGCGCUUUGCAAAACAGCUUCUAUUUUUAAGGCUGCCAAAGGGAUAAAAAAAAAAAAAAAAAA